CGCCCACGCCGCGGUCGUGGCCGGUCCCACCGAGACAGGCGACGCCAGGUCCCUCCAACUGCAGCCCGGUGCGCGCGGCCAGAGGCUAGCGAGUCCCGCGGGGCCAGACCGUUGGCCUCGCCCUUUGCCCUCGUCGACUUUUCUGGAGCCCGUGCGUGGCCCGCUGCUCGCCCGUUCUCUGUCACCCGGCCCGGUGGCCCUCGCGAGCCUGGGGCGAAGGGCGCGCUGGCCGCCGAGGGGUCGCAAGCUAGGACACCCGCUGACUUUUCUACAGAGUCCAGGGAUUCGCCCGCAAGCGGACAGCUCUUCGUGCCACCUUGUGCAGGCAGCUCCCCCGCCCGCCGGUGCCCCCCAGUGUCCCCAUGGAUCCUGGGUCACCCCUGCCCCGCCCCUCACCUCGGAUGCUUGCAGCCUCCUGGGCCUGCACCCCUCGCUGUUGGGUCGCCCCCCAGGGGCCGUAUCUGGCCCCGCGGCUCCCCUCGGGGUCCCUGCUCUGUGGGGACUCUGCAGGCGGGACUCCCAGAGAGAAGCCACUGUGUCUGCUGGCACCUCCAGUGUGUUGGCCGCUCAGGAAGGGUAAAGAUCCUUCCCCAAGGGCGCAAAUACUCUCCUCGGCCAGCCCUCCUGCCCCACCGGGGGAGAGGAACUUCUGUGAAGCUCUGCUGUCCCAGUCACUCUCCCAGACCCUCGUCCAAAGGAGGCUGACCUGAGAGACACCUGGAAGGGCGAGGACGAGGAUGAAAAGUGGCAGUGGCAGUGGCAGGAUGAUGAGAGAGGGGCCACACCAGAGCUGGAGCACAUCCCAUCCACGCCUAAGUCCUUGGAGACCACAUCUUUCUGGUGAACUCCUGGAUUCCAAGGGAAACCUCCAUUUCUAAGAAUACUCUGUGUAAAUGUGGCCUGGAAGCUGGAAACAGGAGGAGGAAGAGGUGCUUCGUGAGCGUCCCCUGGGCCCUGGGCAGGGCUUCCCAAUCCCCUCAGAGGAGCAACCACAGCCCCCCCGACAGACCCCCUUCUCUCCUGUUCCUCAGAGCUAGUUUGCCUUUGGCACAACGGAACAAUGGCCAAGGUACACAGAACAUUAGACCUGCUUUCUUCAAACUUAAAACAUGGUGAAGGCAGAUCAUUCCAGGUAGAGUCCACAUUAAAAAAAUUUUUUUUGUUUAUUUGUUUUUGAGACAGAGAGACAGAGCAUGAACGGGGGCGGGUCAGAGAGAGGGAGACACAGAAUCUGAAGCAGGCUCCAGGCUCCAAGCUGUCAGCACAGAGCCCCACGUGGGGCUCAAUCACACGGAUCGUGAGAUCAUGAUCUGAGCCUAAGUCGGAUGCUUAACCGACUGAGCCACCCAGGCGCUCCGGUAGAGUCUACAUUGUAAACAAUAGAUGGCUUUCAACGGGAGAUGGUCACACUUUACAAAAGCAACCAAUGUUUUGGCUAAAGCCCAACAUGAGCAAUGAGAAGGGAUAGAGCCACAACCUUGUUCCUUUGCAGCUGAGUUGCGAGGUCAGAGGUGGGCAUGAGGCCUCUGGGGGUAGACAGGGCUUGAAAGGUCUGAGAGGCCAGCUCUGGGAACCCCCUCCACUCUGAAGAUGUGGCUGCAGGACAGAGGGAGGAAGGGGACAGGAAGACCUGAGAGCAGGAUUUCCUUCUGCUGCCACAAGGUCUGAAGCUCCACUAGCCCCACAGGGACACCGCAAAUUUGCAUUAGGGACUGUAAUAGGUCAACUUAUGAGACAUCAGAAAGCUUAUUGUAUAUAAGUUCGGCUUACACUCACCUUUCAUGAAUAAUUGAGAUAAAAGCUUAUGUGGUUCCCUAUUAGGGUUAUCGGAAAUUACUAACAGCCCUAUAUCCCCUAUCUCGCUUCUGUAACUUCGCCUGCUUGCUAAAUAGAUAACUUAGGUUGCAAAACGCUCCCCCAACCCCUUCUACCAAGAUCUGGCCUAGGCAAGACCAACAUGUAAAAAGUCACGAACUCAUUGCCCCACCGUAUCUUAGGUGUCUAACUAUGACCUCUGUAAGUUUAGAAGGACCCCCGAGUAUGAGAUGCUGAACCAGUGUUUGUUUUGGGCUUUCAUAGAAGUGCUGUUCCUGUUCCCUAAAUAUUAGUUCUGCUUAAAACCACAUUUGCUGAGUUACUGAGAAAUAAAACUUCCUCUUAACUGCUUGUUUGAGCUUCUGUAAACCUGCUCGGCGUAAUCACCCUUCCCCAUUUUCAGGCACGGCAUCCUGUUCGAACUAAAUAGAAGACUAAUAUUGUAAACCACAUGAUUCAGCAUUCAACUAGCUAGAGUCAUCAAGUUAUAUUUUAAAAUUCUUCAGGACUGUGUGAUUGGUGCCCGCCUUAUAUUUUAAAAACCUACAACAUUGUGUGAUUGGUGCCUGCCCUUUCAAACUGCCACCCUUUGCAACCCGAUUGGUCGAUACAGGCUUUAUAAGACAUUCCCAAAGCUUGUUCGCAGACAGAUUUUCAGGACCUGUUGUAUUUCCCUGUCUGGCCUGGCCGUAAUAAACUUGUUUUGAUCCUG